GUUCGAGGAGGGAGGGAAUCAUGUCACCGGGAAAUGGCAACCACUGUCCUCUAACCACCAGAAACUGAAUUCUGUCAAUAACCAGUAAGUCUGAAAGAGGAACCUCCCUCAGCUGCCAGUGAGAACCUAGUCCUGGCCAAUACUUUGAUUUUAACCCAGUGAGACCUUAAGAAGAGAACCAAGCCACGCCGUUCCAGACAUCUGACCUAGAGAAAGAGUGAGGCUUGUGUAAGACUGCUACAUGUGUGAUAAUUUGUUACACAUGAGUACAAAAGUAAUACAGUCAGUAAAGAAAGGCUCAAAGUAAUAGUUACUAAAGAAGAGCAGGGCGGGAAGAAUAUGCCAGCGUUUCAGGGAUUGAGAGGUGUUUGCAAUGUACAAGGGAGCUGCCCUGGCGGUUCAGUCUGCAAAGAAUUCGCCUGCAGUGCAGGAGACAGCUUCCAGCCCUGGGUCUGGAAGAUCCCCUGGGGAAGGAAAUGGAAUGUAUGAGGAGAAGAGAGAAGAGAGGGAAAGAUGAGAUGAGGUGAGUCUGAUCUUGAAGAGCCUUUUAAGCUGGGGGAGUAUUUUCCAAGAGCAAAGGGAACCGGUGAACUGUUUAACAGAGCUUGCGUUUAUGGAGCGUGAGGAACGUGGCACAGACUGGGAGCAGGCAUUCAGGACCCGGCUUCGGCUGUCAGGGAAGCCGGCGAGGAGGAAGGAGAGUGGCUUGAGCACACGGAACCCCAGACGCUGACCAACAUCUGCUGGUUCUUUCUUUCUCCUCCCCGCUCCUCAGUCACUCACAGCGCCAGCUACGUGCAGGGCCCCACGCCAGGGGGCAGGGACACCCACUGCUCCGCGCUCCCAGACCUCAGCAGGCCCUUGGUUAUUGCUCUUGCUUUUCCAGAAGUCAUGUGGAGUAAGAUAAAUAUAGUUUAUGGAUUCGCACAACUGGUUCUGCCACUUAUUAAGCACACAAGCCGGGGCAAAUCACUUAACCUUUCUGAGUUUCCCUUUCCUGAUUUGUAAAUAACUAUUAUAGCUACUUCAGAAGGCUAUUGCAAGAAUCAAAGACAAAGUAUAUAAAAACUUUAAACCUCAUGAAAGCCCUGUUCAGAUGAUGCGCUUUCCUCUCUUUGUCUCUCUACCAUCCAUGUGCUCUAGUUCUCCUAUUCUUUUCUUUUUCUCUCUCUCCUUUCAUUGUUUUCUCUAUUAAAUUAGUUCAGCAAAUAUUUCUCGUGAGCCUGUGCUAUUCAUCCAUCUAAAUGUCUGCCCAUGCUUGCUUCCCACACACACAUUCCCAUCAUGGAGCUUACUCUAUGAUCACUUAGGGACAUAGAACAAAGCUCACAAUGUAUUUUUAAGUGGAAAAUAAAACUGAUUACAAAAUAUGUUUGAUUGACAAGCAGGUGUUUUGGUGAAUAUGUGUGUGCUGUGUGAAAGGGAGCGAGAGAGAAAAAGUACAAAUAUAUUCGUCGAGCCAAAGAUUGGAAAAUAUACCUCAAAACAUUAGCAGAGUACCUCUAGAUGCUUUCAUUUGGCUUUGUUUUCCCAUUUUCUUGUAUUUUCCUGUAUUUUUCAAAUUUUCUGCCAGAAAUACAUUUGAUAAAUAGUAAAGCAGCCCAACAUGUUUUAAGAAAAAUAUACGACAUCAAAUGUUAUGAAUAAGUUAUACAUAGGAUGUUAUGGGAAUGGAUGUUUCUGAAUUAAAUGUGACUGGGUAGAAUCUCUGUGCUUAGCUUUGAAGGAUAAAAAGCUCUUUAGGAAAGACCUUAGUGAAUGGCAUUCGGGAGAAGGACCCACGGUGUGCAGACCCUGUCAGGAAACAAUGUUCUGUGUGCAGCCCCUGUCACCGGAAGUGUGUCCUGGGCUGCACUGGGAGAUGGGAAUUAGAAGCCACGCUAUGAAUCUUAGCUUUUAUCCUCUAAGUACAGAGGCAUUUAAGCAGAGGAUGUGUAUAGUCAGGCCUUCAUUCCUAUAGGUUACAGUGGUGGCAGUGUGAAAUGCAUAAUAAAGAGGUUAGAAACAGACAGGAAGCACGGAAAUUUGCCAGGACGCUAGUGUCCAAGUAAAAGACAGUGAAGGUCUGGACCAGAACAAUGUGGUGAGAAUGGAGAGAAAUAUUUUAGGGAUGAUUGAGAAUUGUUUAAGGCUUAUUUCCCAUUCUGCCUAUGUUAUACUAUAUUGUUAAAUUAGCAACAUUAUAACUUAUUUAAGAAAGUAUACUUAGGUGCCUAUAUAAUAUGCCUGCAUAAUUUUCCAGCUGGAACAAAAGUAUCAAAGGGCAUGGGAAGGCUAAGACCCAAAGACCUUGGAAGAUUUCAUAAUUUGGCGUGGGUCUCACUUCUGCAAGCCCAGAGGAGUCAGUCAGAGCUAGAAAAUGCUUCCCUCUGGUCCGAAACUAAGCUACGGGGAGACGGGAAACAGCAGAGGGCCUGAGAGACUCUGGAGGAGGACCCACCAAUGUUAUCGGCAGACAAGACCAGAUUAGCAACUGUGGUCUUGUGGGCAGUCAGAGAGCAGGCUGUGCAGUGAUGUGGCCUGGAAAGAGAGAGGAGGGUUGUGUGUGUGUGUGUGUGUGUGUGUGUGUGUGUGUGUGUGUGUGUGUGUGUGUUUGGCUUUUUCUGAGUCAUGUUUAGUCUUUAUAACAGAGACUUUCCACCUGGCAUAAAGACAGUCAAGAGUUAAGAGAGACAGCAAAGCGCCUAAGUAUUUCAUGACAGCAGGGCGCCAACACAAGUUUGCUGGCAGUGAGCAGCAGCUUGGCUGUCCACACUAAGGAGAGACAUGGGCACAGGGAGGAAUACAUUCCCGAGCUCUUCUUUGGCCCAUGUUUUUACUUUGUUGACUUAAAAAAUAAUCACCACCUAAAAACUGAGAGCUAUGUUUUAUUUGGUAGGAAUUUUUAGGACUUCAAGGCCAACAGACAGCAUCUCAAGUAAUCCUGAGAGAACUGCUCCGAGGAAGGGCAGGCGGGAAGUAAGGGGUCAGGUCAUAUAGAAGAAGUGAAGUGAAGUCGCUCAGUCGUGUCUGACUCUGCGCCCCCAUGGACUGUAGCCUAACAGGAUCCUCGGUCCAUGCGAUUUUCCAGGCAAGAGUACUGGAGUGGGUUGCCAUUUCCUUCUCCAGGGCAUCUUCCCAACCCAGGGAUCGAACCCGGGUCUCCCGUAUUGUAGGCAAAUGCUUUACCGUCUGAGCCAGAAGUUUGUAACAAAGGGCUGGUAGCCUGAACACCAAGAGAUUGUUGUGAAUUAAAGAAACCUAGAUAUCUCAAGUUAAGGAGUUUAGCACUUUUUUAUGUGUGAGAAGAUGCAGGAGUCUGCUCCCUGAAACCAUUGCUUUCAUCAUCUCAGCUGGGUUGAGUAUCCAGCGAUUUUUCACAUCCUGAGUUCUUCAGGACGCCCCACAGGGAGUGGCUGCAGCCUUACAGCUGCCAAAUCUAUGCAGGUAUUCUUCUUCUUCCUGAGCGCCCUGGAGGGCAGGAAGCCCUGAUGGCUGUGACCUCCUUGCUUAUCGAUCUGAUAAGAAAUACUUCAUUUCUCAGUCUCACCCAAGUUUUGCUUUAUGUUUGCACCAAGUGAGUAAAUGCUUUCCUAAUGAAAUUUUGAGGCUUUUUCUUAAACCCCUCUUUCUAAUCAUAUUCAUGGGAAGUGUCUAAAAUCCUCCAAGUAAGGCACAAAUCUUCUUUCAUGAACAAAGUGAAUACUGAUAUUGAAAUCCAAGAUAAGUUUUAGGUGCUCUCAGCCUUCUGGCUGGAUGUAGGCUGGCACAAGAGAAGCCUUAAUAAAAGGACUCAGGAACACAAGGAGGAUUUAUGAUAGAGCGCAAAGAGUUGGGUUUGGAGGUCUGGAGCCCUGACGUCAGCCCACAGAGGGUCACAGCAUCUUUCUCUGAAGGGCUCGCUGAGCUCAGCUGCUUGGGGAAGUCAAGCCUCUGGUCAGAUCAGAGGGGUUGAACAAACUCAGGUAGUCCCUAAGGGUCUUUUCAUUUGUAUAUUUAGAUUCCGUGGACCAGGGGGACUUAAAAUAACAAUUAUUUGCAGCUUUGCAGAAAAUUAGAGAAACCUGUAAGAGUGAGCUUUCUAUAACAGGAUAACAGGAUUUAAACUGAACCAGCACAGAAAGCCAGAGGUAGAACUCAGAAAAAUACUUUUUUCCAGUGAGGUUUGUUCUGAUUUUCAAAGGGCUGUGUCCUCCUCUAGCCCUAUAUUAAAGUAUGCUUGGUGUUUGGGAGGGCGCUGUCUUUGUGUGUUGAUUUCUUUUAAUGAUGGUGAAAAUUCUUUCUUGGGCAAAAAAGGCCAAGAGCAGAGGAACUAUAGUGAGGUGGCAGGGGGCGCUGGGGGUGGGGUGGCAGCUGUCCUCAGAUUGGAUGCCAGGAAACAACCUGUCACAUGACCUCCAAGAACCUGAAGGCUUGAGGAAUCACUUUUCUGAGAAGACUUGCCUAGCAAACACCUCACCCACAGCUUCCUCUAGCCAGUAAGUCCUAAAGCUCAGGGUUAGCAGGGCAAGAGCACCUACCUCGAUCUCUCCAGUCCUGGAGUCCCGCCCUCCAAAAUGGCUCAGAGAAGCCAGCAAUUUCCUUUUCUGGCUUUCUUUUCCCUUUUCCUAUUGCAUUCUACUUCACAGGCAAAAGAAUUAUCUCCUAUGAAACAGAAUGAAGCUUACUUUAUAGUUUUGAUUCUGGUUAGGCCCACAAGGACAUACAAUAAUAUUUCUCUUGCCUUUUCUUUUUUUAAAGUAUUUGUUUGGGCUGCGCUUCUAUGAGCCAGGUCUUGUUCUGGGAGGGGCUGAAAUUGCCUGAGGGAGGCUGUAUGGGUGGAGUAAGAAAAUCUGAGUGGGAUUUCAGUGUUGAUGAGCAGGUAAAAAUUCUGUGUGUGUGUGUCUGUCUGUCGGUCUGUCUAACCCUUAGAAAAAGUUAAUUAUCAUAUUUCCAAGUACUCAGAGCAGAAUGGAUGAUACACUGAACAAUUUUGACGUUGCAUUUUGAUGCUCUGUUUGAAAUUCCCCCAGAACAAUGGCUCUAGGUCUGGUUUCUACAUUGCCUCUGAGGGUCCCCUUUUGUGAAAUGCUAAGGGCUGGACAGACUUGAGAUCCUCAGAUUACUUCUACUCCCCCACCUCCCUACAUUAUCAUUUCCCUACCAUAUUAUACAGUGAAAGAAUGUCAUCUAACUUUUUGAGAAAGACAGCUAGCUGGCAAAAUAUACCUCUUUCCUUCUCUGCGUUAGAGGCAGAUUCUGAGACCCUUCUCUAUGUCAAAAUGAUACCUAUAUUUCAAAGCACAGACAGCGUACAUUGUGAAGCCUCCUCUAAUUCUUCCAAACCCAAAACUAAAUGAAACAAACUAUAUGUGUAUAUAUACGGCUUCCAUCAUGGCUCAGUGGAAAAGAAUCUGCCUGUCAAUUCAGGAGACAGGGUUUGAUCCCUGGGUUGGGUUGGGAAAAUCCCCUGGAGAAGGAAAUGGAAACCCACUCCAGUAUUCUUACCUGGGAAAUCCCAUGGACAGAAGAGCCUGGCAGGCUACAGUCCAAAGGGUGUAAAAGAAUUGGACAUGACUUAGCAACUAAAUAAAAACAACAACAACUCUAUAUAUAUAAGGUUUCCCUCUCUUAAACUUCCAAGUGCAUUUAAGGGUACAUAGUUGUGUUUUGUUAAUCUAUGAUGAGAAUUAAGUCUAUGUCAGGUGCUAGGUUAAGUGUUUUACAUGUAUUAACAUUGUAGGGAAAUGCAACUUUUGACUCCGUCUCAUAUCUGAACAAAGAGAUCAUGUAACUUGCCCAUGACCACUGGGAAAUGGUAGAGUCAUUUAUUUCCUGUAUUGAUAGAGAUAGUACUCCAUCUUUUGCUAAGAUUUUAUUAUGUUUUACCUACCUUUUGCUUGCAAGAAUAAUUGACAUUUGUAAGGGGAUUAACAUUUUACCAUUCAUCAGCUCAUUAAUGUCAAAAAUACUUUUGUGAUGUUGUUAUUACUAUUUUCCCCACGUUUCACAGGAAGUAUGUGGAAGAAAUAGUAUUCGGCCAGCUGAUAUUUCACCCGACCUCAGGCCACUGAACUCCCUUGCCUGGCCUCCUGCAAGGUCAGCUUGGUGUUUUCAUUGCCUUUGCAGGGCUAGAACUUUUACUUCACCACAGCUACCAAAAGAUCUAAAUUAUGGUACCAGGGCAGGGGCAUGGCCCGUACUGGCCCAGGCUUAAUCUAAGAGCUACACAAAGGAGAGAGGGCUCAGAUCUUUCUCAAGUUGUCCAGGUGGUCAUCUGUAUCUGCAAGUUUUCCAUCCACAGAUUUGGAGAGCUGUCCUCACGGUACUAUGCUAGUUUAUAUAAGGGCCUUAAGAGUCCAUGAAUUUUGGUAUCAGUAGAGGUCCUGGAACCAGUCCCUCCCAGGGAUAAUGAAGGGUGUGCUCCAAUAGAAUGUAGAAUUUCCCUUUAUAUUGGAGAAUUAUAGGCUAUAAGGGGCCAGGUCAAUAUGACCAGUGGCUUUGUAUGACCAGAUCAGUAUACCCAGUGGCUUUUAUCAGCUGAAGUCUUCAUAUUGGUUUAUAGAAUGGGUCCUGCUCUUCUCUGAGAAUAGAAUGAAGAUUCAGGUCCAUUUGGCCAGCACAUACCAAGAAAAACUAAAUUGGGUUAGAGAGUCCCUUAACUGAAUCCCUGCAUAAAGGGCAUGUUACAGUUCAUUAAUGAGAAAAUGAUGAGCACUUACUAUACACCAAAAUAUAUGUGCAUAUUAGAGCUUUAGAAGUACAAUUGACCAAGAAUUUUUCCACACCUUUGGGAUUUUGUCAGUCUAAAUAAAGAAGUAAACUGGAACAAGCUCCAAUGACCAGAAAUUGAGUUUAUUUGGAAAUAGCAGAUGAAUUGCAAUUCAGAAAACAUGUACUAAUUAUGAUUGGACUUUUCUGCGGAAUAUCUAGCCAGGAGACCUGAAUCUGCUUGCAAUAAAGAAGAGAAAGUUAAAAAAAAAAAACCAAAACAGAGGACAUGUGCUGUAGCAAGUUACAGCAUAAUUUGAAGAAGCUUAUCAAGCUUAUCAAGUCAAAGCUAUGGUUUUUCCAGUAGUCAUGUACAGAUGUCAGAACUGGACCAUAAAGAAGCCUGAGUGCUAAAGAAUCGAUGCUUUUGAACUGUGAUGUUAGAAAAGACUCUUGAGAGUCCCUUGGACAGCAAGGAUAUCAAACCAGUCCAUCCUAAAGGAAAUCAACCCUGAAUAUUCAUUGGAAGGACUGAUGCUGAAGCUGAAACUCCAGCACUUUGGCCACCUGAUGUGAAAAGCUGGCUCAUUGGAAAAGACCCAGUCUUUCCCUGCUGGGAAAGAUUGAGGACACGGGGAGAAGUGGGUGACCGAGGAUGAGAUGGUUGGAUGGGAUCAUCGACUCAGUGGAUAUGAGUUUGAGGAAACUCCAGGAGAUAGUGAAGGACAGGGAAGCCUGGCGUGCUGCAGUCCAUGGGGUCACCAAGAAUUGGACAUGAUUGAGAAACUGAACAACAACAAAAAUCAAACUUCCUCGUUGCAUCAUGCAGGAUCUUUCAUUGUGGUGUGUGGACUCUCUCAUUGUGGCACGUGGACUCAGUGGUUGCAACACACAGGCUUAGUUCCUCUGAGGAACCCCACAGUAGGGGAACUUUUGGUCCCACACAACUUUGAGCCUCUCCUGAUAAACAGCCCAGCAGGUGUCUCAGUACUCUGAUUUACUUGCAGCUCGCCCGUCUGUCCAGCGUAAGUGACCCAAACAGCAGAAGGACGGGCCUUGUUUCUCAGUGUAUGGGCUUGGCAGUAUCUUGGCCCUUGUCCAAGUCACCAGAUACACUCUCCAUCAUUACCAUUAACAGCAACAGAUUAAAAUGCAACUAUUACAAAUCAGAAUCCACGCCAGCGCCUGAGUUGAUGAGUUGAGAGGAGAGGAGGACAGAAAGGAGAAAUCUAAAGGCAAGGUGCGGUGGGGGUGGGAGACCGCUUCUCCUUUUCUGCCCUUUCUCCAAAAACUUCCCUAGUUUGAUUUACCGUAUGCUCAGCCAUGUGUUCUCACACUCUCCUUUACCUUGAGAGCUGACUGUUAGACACACACAAGAGAAGAACAUGAAGGCCUCCAGAUAAAGUAGAUGCUGACACAAGAGAGUCCCAGUCCCUUGGUUUCUUUGACAGGGCUUUACCAGGCUGGAUGGAAGAAGGAAAGACCACCAGGAAAGCGCGUGGCUCAAGUGGAGCUAUAAACCAGCUCUGCACUCUUCCGAGGAUUUAUAUUCAACUGAAGACGCGUCCAAUGCAGGACGUUAUGGCUUUCUGCUUUCUUUUUGCUUACAUGGAGAAAUAACAGUUAAUAUAGUCAACUAUCCCAAGGCAGAAGACUAUUAUUAAAAAAGAAUACUUUGCAACAUUAUUGAUUUCUCAAGUCACUGUCAGAUAUUUUAAGAUUUGGAUUUAAUAAAACAUAAUAUGAUUUCUUUUAUGGGAUUUUUAUGUUUUCCCAGUCUUUAUCACCCUUGGGUGUUUCUUAGUUGAAAAUGAGAGUAUCUACCAAGUAUCAGCUGAACAAAUCCUGAUCUAAGUUAUAAAAACUUUUAUGGCCACACUGUCGUUUUCCUCCACUUACCUCUUUCUGUAAGCAGAUUUGUGGGGCAGGGGUCGUCCCUGGAGAAAGAGCACCAGGCAUGGCUUUCUUGACAUAAGAGGAGGGCUUGGCCCAAGCCCUUUAUGAUCUCAGCCUGGCCAUAAUGCUCGAUCUUGAACAGGUCUCAGUGAUAAAUAGUCUUAAGGGAACAAAAAAAAAAAAAGCAUAAAUAACAGACUGUUAACGGGCUAGAGAAAUAACAAGAGCAAAAAUAUUAGAUCUGUCGCAAAGACUUUCAGUUCUCUUUUGAUGGUAAAGACCAGCCUAAAGCACAGUCUUGAGCCAUUUUGUAGAAGCUAAAUGCCAACAACUAGAUCAACUGGAAUCUGAAGCAGAGCGGUAUUGACCUUUUCUGACCCUCUUGACUUCAAUCAACUGAAGCUUGGACUCUGCCUCCCAUCCAGGCCCCUUCAUGAAUAUGCAUGUACCAAUCGCUUAAGCGUCCCCUCUUUGCUGUUCAGAGAAAACACUGCUUUGGGAAAGAUCCCUAGUGUUCGCCUCAGUUGCAGUGAGUAAGAUGACCUUCUGCGAUUUGGCUUUUCUGUUUUUUGGCAAUACCACCAAAAGGCAAACCCAGUGUUCAGGUGACAAUUCUACGUCAUUGAGCCUUCUUUACAUUUAUUCAUAUUUUUCUAUAUACACAGCAUUUAAUAUAUAUACCCAGUAUGAUGUGGUACAGUGUGUAAGAGGAAAGAUUGGAGUAGCAAGGAUUCCUAAGUUGAUUUGGGGAGUGGGUAAAGAAAAUUUGGUCUUCCGUGAUAGCACAGAUGGUGAAGAAUCUGCCUGAAUUCAGGAGACCUGGGUUCAAUCCCUGGGAUGGGAAGAUCCCCUGGAGAAGGGAAUGGUAACCCUCUCCAGCAUUCUUGCCUGGAGAAUUCCACGGACAGAGGAGCCUGGUGGGCUACAGUCCAUGGGGUUGCAAAGAGAUGGAUACAACUAAGCGACUAACACAUACACACAAAGAAAACUUGGAGAGUCAUCUGAGCUGGACAGAAUGCUCUUUAAAGAAGAACCAUGUCUGUUCUCCACUCUCUACCUAGCACAUGGGAGCUCCUCUGCUAUCGCAAAAGGAUGUGGAAAUGGAAAAAGAAAUUGUUUUGGGUAGAAAUAACAGACGUUGUUGUUAUUAUGUCUGUAAGUCAUGUCUGAUUCUUUUGCAACCCUGUGGACUUAUAGACUGAGAAGAUCCCCUGUCCAUGGGGUUCUCCAGGCAAGAAUACUGGAGUGGGUACCCAUUUACUUCUUCAGGACAUCUUUUUGACUCAGGGAUUGAGCCUGCCUUUCCUACAUUGGCAGGAGGUUUCUUUACCACUGAAAGAAACCUCAGGGGAGCCCUGAAAUUAUUAACAGACAUCCUCAAAGGAGGAGGAAUGACAGAGAUUAACAUUUACUUUUUAUGAAGGCCCUAAAAUGUGCUAAAAAUGCCCAGAUUAAAGAUAAAUCUGAGGAGGGGUGAUUAGUUGUAUGUCCACACCUGGCAGCUCUGCAGUUUUCAGUUAUACUCAAAACGAGGUCAUUUACUUGGAAAGAAGCAGAUAUUUGGCAACAUAAUUGGGCUACAGCUGAAGCCCUCAAACCUCUAAACUCAAUCUGUACGAGGAAAUAAAUUCCCUUUGUUACUUAAGCCAGUUUCUGUUAUUUGCAACUGAAGGCAGCUGAGCUUUAUGUCAGGUAAGAUAAAGGUUAAAAACACAAAAAAGUGACAGGGUCUCCCUGUUCUGCUCUAAUGUGGUCUAAAGAAUAGUAGCAUCACCUUGGAACUUGUUAGAAAAGCCAAUUCUUGGGCCCCAUCCCAGAUCUGCUAAAUCCGAACCGCUGCAGCCCUGAUUGGCGCCUGACUUGUGUUCCCAACAAGCCGCAGGUGUUGCCGAUGCCCUUGGGAGGC
ensembl:lncRNA